rnacentral:misc_RNA from 1 species
AAAACCAGCAAAGUUAUCUGUAUUUAAAAAUGAACCCACAAUUUAAUUUUCUUUUCCAUUGAUGUCAACGGAACGAUCGGCCAAUCACAUUGUCGCUUUAAAAAUGUCAUCUGCACUUCCUGUCAUGGCCCCCAGAAAAGAGAAAAUAUUGUAUUGCGAUUGAUAAAAGAUUUGUAAAGAUGACAUUGCCAUAUAGCUCAAUUUUUCACAAUAUGCUUCAUGAUACUGUUUCUUGUAGAAAUGAAGCGUCGGGAAAAGCAACCUUUUCUUAAUGCACUUUGCUCUUUCUAUCAAAAUAGCUAGAGGCCAAGACUAAAUUGGGGAAAAGUUCAUCGAGCGAAAAACCAUGCUUCUGUGGUUGAUGUUUAAAAACUCUUUCUGUUAUUAACUCUGGUGAUUAUUUUAAAUUAAGUUCAAUCUUUCAGUUAAAUUUGUGAUUAUUUGUAAAUAUAUUUGCAGUAUUUCGUUUUAAUAAAACUACUGACAUUACGAGUGGUGUUUGUAAUACAAGAGUUGCCAGGCCUGUACUGCUUGUUUGCUGUAGCUCACAGAAUGUCUGGAAACAGAAUGGAAGUUGAUCAUGAUCAUGAGCAGCCAUCAUCAUCUGGUAUUCCACCACCAGGGACACUAAAACGGUCAAACAGUGCACCUAUGAUCAAUGCAUUGGUUGCAACAACUCACAAUGAAGCAAGUACUUCGACUUUUAGACCGGCUGAAGCAAAUCGACUGCGCAGAUUUAGCUCCAGCAAUAUGGCCUUGCACACCGCCUCUCCGACUAUUCGGGUGCCCGGUCGAGUGAGUCAAAUCAAGAAUGAAGAAAGUCAUAUUCCAGAUCGAGAAGCUGCCCAUGAAAGAGAGGUUCGAACGACUAUGCAGAUAUCCAGUUCUUGGGAUGGAUUUCAUUUGCAGGAUCAAGAACAGAUGGUAUCGGAUCACACUCACAGGCGACCAAGAUCAUUUAGUGAAACGUUACACGUCAUAACCGGUCCGAACUUUCUGUCCGGGCUGCCAUCUCCGACACGUGUGGGGAAACAAUGCUUCUCCCCGUCAAUGCAGGUGCCUGUGAAAAACAACAGCUUUACUCCCAGUCCUAGUCCAAGCCCAACAAGAAAGUCAUUUUUAAGAAGUCUCAGCCCUAUCGCAGUCAGACCAAGUCCAUUGGGCAAGAGAAAAUUGGACACAGAUAGCAGUGACCGUUUCGAAUAUCUUAGUCCUCCGAAGAAACUCAGCACUGGCCCCAGCACCCCUGACAGAGUGAUAGCCCACCCACUGGCCCACAGUGUUUCCUCGAGCAGUUUGGAUGACCACAGUCCGGAACAGACCGUGCCCCAGGGUCAGGGGUCCGUGCCCGACCUCGCACAUCGGUCAAAGUCAAACAUUUUCGGCUUCAUGCCGCUCCGGCACUCACAUGAUAUCCACAUGACCGACUCGGAAUCGUCGGAUCUUGUCGACUCCACAGACAUGAGCGAGUCGCCCGAACAAUCGUGUCACCAUGGCAACGCGGACUCUAGCGGCUUCACACCCAUAAAGCCGCCACAUUUAUGAUGGCAAACCCAACGCAAUAUUUAGGGUGGAGGAGGGGGGAUGAAUGAUGAAAAGCGGUUGAAUUAAAUAUCAUUAUGUUAUCAUAUGCUGCCCGUAAUUGUUUCCUCACCCGUUCAGUGGAAACAUUUAUGAUGGCAAAGCCCACCAAGACUUGUUUGGGAAAAGCGGUUUGAAUUGCUAAGAAAUGACAUUGUCAUCAUGGCAACAUCGUCUUGGUUUCUGUGCCUAUAAAGUGGAAACACUCACGAUGGCAAACCCCACUAAUUCUUUUGUGAUCAAAAGUGGUUUGAAUUGCUGAGAAAAGACAUCAUGAUUGUAACAUCGACUUGUUCUUUUUUUAUUCGUAAACUGGAAACACAUAUGAUUGCAAAGCCCACCAAUUCUUUUGUGAUGAAAAGCGGUUUGAAUUGCUAAGAAGAGACAUCAUGCUUGUAACAUCGACAGGGUGUUUUUUUCAUUCGUAAACUGGAAACACUUUUGAUGGCAAAGCCCACCAAUACUUUUGUGAUGAAAAGCGGUUUGAAUUACUAAAAAAAGGCAUCGUUAUGAUUGUAACAUCAACUUGGUUUCCACAUGCAUUAAAGCGGCAACACUUAAGAUGGGAAAUUUGACCAAUAUUUGUGGUGGCAGACGAAGAUUCUGGGAUACACAGUGGUUUGAAAUUACUAUCUGAUUGUAUCAUUCUCAGGCUGUGAAUUUAGCAGAAAAGUGGUUUGAAGACAUCGACAUGAACUGGAAAUACAGCAUACUGAGUAAAAUAUUUGUCUGUUUAUACGCCCGUUUUUGUCGGGUUGUAUUACGGUACGGCCUUGUUCGUCCGUCUGUCUGUACAUGCAUACGUCCGUCUGUUCAUAAACUUUUUUGUUUCCAAAGCAUAUCUUUCUUAUCAAUUCAUAUAUGAUCAGCAAAACUAGGUCAUCGUGACUUAACUUUUGACAGGCAUAUCAAGUACCUCACCGGUACACACACGGCAUACUUUUAAAACUGAGGGUCGUUAAGUGGGAAUGAAAAUUUUGGAUUUUGGGAAUUAAUUUGUUUUUGGUAAGUCUGACAUAUAGUCUUAGAGACGAAACCUGCUACAUUUUUCCAUUUGUAGCAAGGCAUUUUUUAUAUGCACCAUCCUACAGACAGAAUAGCACAUACCUCAGCUUUUGAUAUACCGGUCGUGGUGCACUUGCUGGAAUAAGAAAUAGCCCAAUGGGACCACCGACGGGGAUUGAUCCCAAAUCGACUGCUCAUUAAGUAAGCACAUCCUCCAUCCUGAGAGAGUACUAGUAUUAAUUGUGUAGCUUAAAAAAUCAACAACUUGUAGUUAAGUAACAAGACUAGCACUGAAUCUAGUUACACUCAUAAGGAAGGAAAUGUUUUAUUUAUUUCAUUUUAACUUAUUUUCAUGCUUAUAUCCAAUUACGGUUUAAGCACGCAUGUCCUGGGCACACACCUCAGUGGGUUAGUUGUUAGUUGGUUAG